UACGUAGGUGGCAAGCGUUGUCCGGAAUUAUUGGGCGUAAAGCGCGCGCAGGUGGUUCCUUAAGUCUGAUGUGAAAGCCCACGGCUCAACCGUGGAGGGUCAUUGGAAACUGGGGAACUUGAGUGCAGAAGAGGAAAGUGGAAUUCCACGUGUAGCGGUGAAAUGCGUAGAGAUGUGGAGGAACACCAGUGGCGAAGGCAGCCCCCUGGGCUAACACUGACGCUCAUGCACGAAAGCGUGGGGAGCAAACAGG
rnacentral:rRNA from 1 species